UACGUAGGUGGCAAGCGUUGUCCGGAAUUACUGGGCGUAAAGCGUGCGCAGGCGGUUUUGUAAGCCGGAUGUGAAAUCCCCGGGCUUAACCUGGGAAUGGCAUUCGGGACUGCAAGGCUGGAGUGCGGCAGAGGAGACUGGAAUUCCUGGUGUAGCAGUGAAAUGCGUAGAGAUGUGGAGGAACACCAAUGGCGAAGGCAGCCUUCUGGGCCAACACUGACGCUCAUGCACGAAAGCGUGGGGAGCAAACAGG
rnacentral:rRNA from 1 species